ACACAUGCAAGUCGAGGGGCAUCGGGAUUGAAGCUUGCUUCAAUUGCCGGCGACCGGCGCACGGGUGCGUAACGCGUAUGUAACCUACCUAUAACAGGGGCAUAACACUGAGAAAUUGGUACUAAUUCCCCAUAAUAUUCGGAGAGGCAUCUCUCCGGGUUGAAAACUCCGGUGGUUAUAGAUGGACAUGCGUUGUAUUAGCUAGUUGGUGAGGUAACGGCUCACCAAGGCAACGAUACAUAGGGGGACUGAGAGGUUAACCCCCCACACUGGUACUGAGACACGGACCAGACUCCUACGGGAGGCAGCAGUGAGGAAUAUUGGUCAAUGGACGCAAGUCUGAACCAGCCAUGCCGCGUGCAGGAAGACGGCUCUAUGAGUUGUAAACUGCUUUUGUACGAGGGUAAACUCACCUACGUGUAGGUGACUGAAAGUAUCGUACGAAUAAGGAUCGGCUAACUCCGUGCCAGCAGCCGCGGUAAUACGGAGGAUUCAAGCGUCAUCCGGAUUUAUUGGGUUUAAAGGGUGCGUAGGCGGUUUGAUAAGUUAGAGGUGAAAUCCCGGGGCUUAACUCCGGAACUGCCUCUAAUACUGUUAGACUAGAGAGUAGUUGCGGUAGGCGGAAUGUAUGGUGUAG
rnacentral:rRNA from 1 species